GAAAGCGACGGGCAGAGCUGAUCUCUCACGGCUCAAAAUCCACCCUUUUUGCUCGGCUUCCUCGAUCUGCUUACGUUUCUUCUCAUUUUCCGCUGAUUUUUACCAAUCGGGAAUAGAUUCUGAUGCUGAGCGCGUCGGGAUUGCUCUACAACUGGAGAUCUCGCGCGGGUCGGAGCCAUCCCGAUCCAGACCCGUCGCUCGAUCCCCUCUCCGCUGCUCCUGCCGCUGGUGGAGAUGCCUAUCCCCGGCACUCUCGACGGCACAACCGUCGCCGCCGCCGCCUCGGAGAUGGUCCUCAGCUCGAACCCAGACAUAUUCCUCCAGCCUAUCACUCCACGGAAUUUGAACCAGAUUGGCUAGGUAACCAAAAUGACGGCGACUCUAUGAUUGGCAGCAGUAUCUACGGCGCAUCUUUAGCAAGCACACUAGAUAGGUUAAGCUUGACCAGGAGCGACCAACUUCCUGGUGUUGUUCUGCAGGCAAGAGCAAGGCUUCAAGAGAGACUUAGAGGCAUAUCUCCGUCUGGAAAUAGUCAAACCGGCUUGACAUUAGACAUCACAAGGAAUGAGGUUGCUAUGAAUGAUGAAAUGAGGCUCGUCAAUGAUGGAGAACCAGAUGCAGAGAGUCUGGUUGAAUGGUUUGAAUCAGGUUCAUUAGCACCAAGCUCAAGAGCAGAAACUGAUGGCCAUGUGCAAUAUGCUAAUAGGCCUCCUGGACUCAGCUCAAAGGCUUUCAGUAAUCUACAGAUGGAAGUUUAUGUUGAGAGAGCUUUUCUCGAUUGCUCCAUCUGUCUGGAGAGAUUUGUGGAGGGCGAAGAACUGAUUCAGCUGUCUUGCAGGCACAGGUUCCAUCCUGAUUGCUUGGAGCCAUGGGCGAAGAUAUGUGGGGAGUGCCCGUAUUGCAGGACGACCAUAUAAAGGCUGUUGCGGAGGUUAUUUGGAGCUAUGCCAUACACGAAUCCUUUCUCCAUUCGAGCAUUGUCAUCGUCGAUACCAACCCGCUACCUUCUUCUGCACGCCCGGCGGGCCUCGCUCAGCGUCCUCGGCGUUGUGGUUCGGCUGACGCGCCAGAUGAAUCUGGCUUGCAUGCGGUUAGGCGCGUGUGGAAUAAACAAUGAAAUGAUUAAUUUAUAGACAUAAAAAUAUUUUAUUAUAAUAUUUGUCUUACUCUAGGGAUGAUAUAUUAAUGUAAGCAAUUCUUAUCUUAAUCCAAUGACUUGCUCUUUA